UACAAUGCUCAUCCCAUCUCGAAUCAUGACAUCUUUGGUUGGCCUCUUAGCAAUUGUCAGCAUCUUUGCCACAUGGUUGGAGGCUAGACAUCAGUUUGUCACCAUAUAAUGUAUUCCCUCUAUCUGGUUGGGAGCAUAGAGCAGGUGCUUGGAAAUCCUGCUGUCAUCCAUUCUCCACACAUGACUGGUCCAUGUUCAGCUGAAUUAUGCAGGUGUCUCUAUAUAGCAGCUUUACUCAGAAAGAACAAGACGACGAAAACUAAUUGUACAAAUAAUAAUAAUAAUAAUAAUUAAGCAAGGAGGGAAAUGAACUAGUUAUAGAGUUGACGAUAUAAAGUCAAAAUAAUUUAAAGCUGUCAUUCUACUUGGUCCGUGUGGUGGUUUACUAGAUUGACCAGCGCAUCUAGAACAGAAAUAUUUUAAAGAAACAUGCAAAUGAAUCUUCUCUGGAGAACCAAAGCCCUGCACUUCUUCAUCUUGAUGAGCUCAUUCCCUUAACUGGUGAAGCAAGCAUUUGUCCUUCAAGUCCAAUAAGUUCUAACUGUCAUUAAUCACACGUUUCUUUGGUAAGUGUUUAAAAAGUCUAAUCAGGGAAGAAGAGCACUAAAGAGAAAAUACACGGCACUCUCCAGUAAAGGACCCAAUAAAAGGUAAAGAACUGAGAUAGCUGAGUUUUGAAAUCUUAGAUAAUAUAAA